rnacentral:lncRNA from 1 species
ACGCAUCAUUAUGGCCACUGCUGUUGCCAUCCAUCCUUCAUCCAGACAAGUCUCCAAGCCACAGUAGCUGCAAUACUCCAAAGAGAAGUGCAACAAGAGAGAGAAGAGAAUAGAAGAGAGAGAAGAGAAGAGGAGGAGAGAGGAGAAUCGCUGCCACUGGAAAGCAGCAGCUGAGCGCCUGAGCCUGCAGCUGCAGUAGGAGCAGAAGAGAAGCAAGAAACGAGAGAGAGAGAGGGAGGGAGAAAGCGUUGGGACUUUUCAUUGGAUCCUUCGCUUUUGGGAGGAGGAAGAAGAAGCCAGCAAGGUCUCGUCUUUCCUCUCUUCCUUCGCGCCGGCGAGGGGUUGGAGGAGGAGGAGGAGAUGUUUCCGCCUGGGCUGAUCCACCACAGGCCGGACGGCGGCGACGGGGGGAGGGCGGCGGCGGGGGGCGNNN